GCUUGAGUAGUUUAAUUAAAAUACUGAUUUGUGGUAUCAGUGAUAUGCAUAUAUUGUAUCUUAGGUU
rnacentral:tRNA from 1 species